rnacentral:misc_RNA from 1 species
GAUGAAGAACGUAGCGAAAUGCGGUAAGUAAUGUGAAUUGCAGAAUUCAGUGAAUCAUCGAAUCUUUGAACGCACAUUGCGCCCGCCAGUAUUCUGGCGGGCAUGCCUGUUCGAGCGUCAUUUCAACCCUCAGGCCCCGCCUGGCGUUGGGGAUCGGCGCGGCCCUCUCCGGGCUGCCGGCCCCGAAAACUAGUGGCGGUCUCGCUGUAGUCCUCCUCUGCGCAGUAGCAACGCUCGCACUGGAACUCGGCGCGGCCACGCCGUAAAACACCCCACUUCUGAAAGUUGACCUCGGAUCAGGUAGGAAUACCCGCUGAACUUAAGCAUAUCAAUAAGCGGAGGA